rnacentral:tRNA from 1 species
CCUUCCCGUGCUUUUUAGAACAUAGAUGGCACCAGUCAGGUGACCAUCGAAACGUAAUACGCCGCGAUGACUUCGGUCACGACGGUAUGGCGAGCUUUCGCCGUCCACGUUUCUCUUUCUUCAAAAGGAUAUCGAACCAUGGGUUUGCGCUCGCGCGCUGUUCGCACCUUCGGUGCUGCGCUCCGCGAGGGCGCCGGACGACCGGCGACGGCCUCUGGCCUGUAUGGGCGACCCUUUCCGAGGUUUUGCUUAGGAUUGGCGUCGACGCAGAGAGAUGGGCCCGUAGCUCAGUUGGUUAGAGCACACGCUUGAUAAGCGUGGGGUCGGAAGUUCAAGUCUUCCCGGGCCCACCAUUUGCACCAGCAAAUGAGGUUUGCUGUAGCGAAUUGUGGUUUGUUUGGGUUUACCUGAUCCUGGCGGUUUGCUGUCAGGUGUUUGCGAUGGUUGGGGCUGUAGCUCAGCUGGGAGAGCACCUGCUUUGCAAGCAGGGGGUCAGCGGUUCGAUCCCGCUCAGCUCCACCAAUUCGCUUGGUGUCGAGACUGAGAGAGAUAUCCUUUGAAGAAA